rnacentral:misc_RNA from 1 species
GUAUUUUGAAUUGUUUUAUUCAUAAUAUUUUUCAGACGAAUGUUGUUAAAGAUAUAGGUUGAUAUUUGUGAAGGGAAAGAGUUGCCUCUCUCCCAACAAACAUUGCACACAAGGUGGAUAUGGAUUUUUAAAGAGUGCCAUAAAACACUCAUUGUGAAUGAUCCUUCCGCAGGUUCACCUACGGAAA